rnacentral:ncRNA from 1 species
CAACCUCAACUCAUAUGGGACUACCCCCUGAAUUUAAGCAUAUUAAUUAGGGGAGGAAAAGAAACUAACAAGGAUUUUCUUAGUAGCGGCGAGCGAAAAGAAAACAGUUCAGCACUAAGUCACUUUGUCUAUAUGGCAAAUGUGAGAUGCAGUGUAUGGAGCGUCAAUAUUCUAGUAUGAGAAAUUAAUGAUUUAAGUCCUUCUUAAAUGAGGCCAUUUACCCAUAGAGGGUGCCAGGCCCGUAUAACGUUAAUGAUUGCUAGAUGAUGUUUCCAAAGAGUCGUGUUGCUUGAUAGUGCAGCACUAAGUGGGUGGUAAACUCCAUCUAAAACUAAAUAUAACCAUGAGACCGAUAGUAAACAAGUACCGUGAGGGAAAGUUGAAAAGAACUCUGAAUAGAGAGUUAAACAGUACGUGAAACUGCUUAGAGGUUAAGCCCGAUGAACCUGAAUAUCCGUUAUGGAAAAUUCAUCAUUAAAAUUGUAAUAUUUAAAUAAUAUUAUUAAGAAUAAUGUGAAUUUUUUCCAUAUAGGACAUUGUAAUCUAUUAGCAUAUCCCAAAUUUAUCAUAAAAUAUAACUUAUAGUUUAUUCCAGUUAAAUUGCUUGCAUUUUAACACAGAGUAAAUGUUAUUCAUUUGAUAAAGUGCUGAUAGAUUUAUUUUAUUACAGAGCGUUAAUUUUUCAGAAUUAUAUAAUGGCAUAAAUAUCAUUGAUUUUUGUGUUUAUUAAAUGCUCUUGUAUGAUUAGCAAUGCGAAAGAUUCAGGAUACCUUCGGGACCCGUCUUGAAACACGGACCAAGGAGUCUAACAUAUGUGCAAGUUAUUGGGAUGUAAACCUAAUAGCGUAAUUAACUUGACUAAUAAUGGGAUUAGUUUUUUAGCUAUUUAUAGCUAAUUAACCCAAAAGGGGGGCGUUCUAUAUAGUUAUGUAUAAUGUA